CCAAGAGGGAAGGAGCUCUCCUAGAGGAAGCUAAGUGAAGAGGCUUGACUGCCCAUUUGGUUUCUGCUUGUGUAGCAGGUGCUCAGGCACAGAAUACUUGCCGUGCAGCACAAUGUCUGGAAAAGCCCUCCAAACCUGCCUGCCUGAGGUUGCAAAGAAGACAGCCGGGUCCACCUGAGAACAGGGAAUCCAGCAGAGCAAUGUAGGAACUGGGGCUAGUGAAGACCAGCCUCUGCAUCUCAGAAAGAAAGAUACAGAAGUGAGAAGAGAGUGUGUUAGUAAGAACUCCUGGAUUUACAAACCUAUUUGGAUUAAAGCAAACUAACAGUUAUCUAAACCCCACCAAUGAGCUGAAAUUGCUUCUAUCACACAUGGCUCUAGUGAUUGCGGCAAGAACAAGAUACUGCAGAUGCAUUUAAGAACUUGGACAUUUUUAAUAUAGCAUGCAAUCUCCUUUUACAAAACUUUACAUAUCCUUCAGCAAGAGUUUCCACAAUCAGCCAAUGGUUCCAGUCCACCACUAUGAAACAUGCUACUUCUGAGGAGAAAUCAGACAGGAAGCCACCCACUGGUCAGAAGGGCCUCCAAACACAGUUAUCUUAGAAUAUUAACUCAGCUUUUAUACAUCUCCUUAAACCAGUCAAACAGUUCAUGUAAUUGUCUGUUUACAUUCAAGCUAAUACUGCUCAAAUUUGAGCUCUUUAUUCCAUUACCUUGACUCCAACAGGACUACUUGUUACAGGUAACUAUUCAUCAGUAAGAGGAAGAGGUUAACACCCUCAUGCUAUGUACUUGCAUCAUUCUAAUUUCAAUACAAAAGAGUGGCUAAGUGUGCAACUUCCACUCUGGCACUUACUUGCAUGAGUAUGCCAAUCUUUUUGCUCACAGGAGCAAGUCUGCAGGAAUCUACGGGUCACACAGUUAAAUCCAAAUGAAGGUGCUUUAAUUUAUAUGUUUUUGCUACUGAAGACUGAGCUCUGGCUCUGCUUCCUGGGUUUUUUGAUUGACAGUUACUUUGUUGUAUAGAGGGAGCUAACACAUCUAAAAUCUCUUAAAGAAGAUCAACUGUAAUGUAAGAAACUGUUCAGCAAGGUCAAAUGUAUAGGUGUUUGGUAUUUCUUUUAAGAAAUGUGUCAUACAGCAAUGAAGUUUAUAGCACUGUAAAGGUCCAGGGUUUAGAAUAAAGGAAAAAUCAAAUCACUUUUAUAAUGAAGGAACACAGAGAACCACCCAAACCUAGAAUCAAAAUGCAUAAACUGAAUGCUUACAACAUUUACAAUCUCCUCAUGCUUUUGUUAUUUGAAUACAAUAGAUCACUAUCUAAAAAAACUGAUAAAAGCUAGCUUUUUCCAUGCAUAGUUGACCUGUUUUUGACAUUGUCCAGCGAUUUCUAGUUUUCCUCACAUUACAGCCAUAUUGUAAGCUCUGAGACACACACCCCAUUACUCUCAGAAUCACAAAGCAUGAUUAAUUGUGGGGACAAACAUCUGC